CAGAACGUCGUGAGACAGUUCGGUCCCUAUCCAUCGCGGGCGGAAGAAACUUGAAAGGGGCUGCUCCUAGUACGAGAGGACCGGAGUGGACGGACCAAUGGUGUACCAGUCAUGCCGCCAGGCGUGCAGCUGGGUAGCUACGUCCGGGACGGAUAAACGCUGAAAGCAUCUAAGCGUGAAACCAGCCUAAAGAUGAGGUUUCUCAUUGUGAAAGCAAGUAAGGUCCCAU
rnacentral:rRNA from 1 species